rfam:Triticum aestivum genome assembly, contig: Triticum_aestivum_CS42_TGACv1_scaffold_293830_4AL
CAUAUACUCCCUCCGUCCGAAAAUACUUGUCAUUAAAAUGGAUAAAAAGGGGAUGUAUUUAUCCAUUUUGAUGACAAGUAUUUUGAUACAUCCCCUUUUAUCCAUUUUGAUGAUAAGUAUUUUCGGACGGAGGGAGUACUUG